rnacentral:rRNA from 1 species
CCGCAAUGGACGAAAGUCUGACGGAGCAACGCCGCGUGAGUGAUGAAGGCUUUCGGGUCGUAAAACUCUGUUGUUAGGGAAGAACAAGUACGAGAGUAACUGCUCGUACCUUGACGGUACCUAACCAGAAAGCCACGGCUAACUACGUGCCAGCAGCCGCGGUAAUACGUAGGUGGCAAGCGUUAUCCGGAAUUAUUCGGCGUAAAGCGCGCGCAGGCGGUUUCUUAAGUCUGAUGUGAAAGCCCACGGCUCAACCGUGGAGGGUCAUUGGAAACUGGGGAACUUGAGUGCAGAAGAGAAAAGCGGAAUUCCACGUGUAGCGGUGAAAUGCGUAGAGAUGUGGAGGAACACCAGUGGCGAAGGCGGCUUUUUGGUCUGUAACUGACGCUGAGGCGCGAAAGCGUGGGGAGCAAACAGGAUUAGAUACCCUGGUAGUCCACGCCGUAAACGAUGAGUGCUAAGUGUUAGAGGGUUUCCGCCCUUUAAUGCUGCAGCUAACGCAUUAAGCACUCCGCCUGGGGAGUACGGUCGCAAGACUGAAACUCAAAGG